CGGAAAAAUCACGUCUCUCAUUUCAGAGUUCUCCUGGGCAUGAAGAAGGAGACGGCCACCACCUGCUUCUGUGUCUCUGUGUGGUACCAAGAAAAAACCCCGGAAGCCCCAGAGCCCUCUGCUAGGUAGCAGCCAGGGCUGUGGCAUCUCUGCCCAAGCUUCUCCCUGCUGGAUUCAAUAUGAAAGGGUGUUCUGUCUCGAGUUUCAAAGUCCAACACCACCAACACUCCUUCUCAUGUGGCAGCAAAAGUACAACAGGGAUCUCUGCCUUCCCACCUCAGUGCAAUGAAGCCCCACACCGCAGAGCUUAGGAACCCAUGGGAAACCCAUCAUCACCAUGCUUCACCAAAUGCCAUUUGUUUCCAGAAAGGAAGCGAAGUAAACAGCCCUUUGAUUUGUUGCUUCUCAACUUCUAAAGAAAUCUAGCCUGAGAAUCUAGUUCAGAUGAUGUUGAAGGCUGACCCAGCAACCACACCAUUUAUCACCUCCCUGCUUCACACAUACACCUCCUCCUAGCGGACAGAAUCUGCCAUGUCAUAUGGAGACUGCAAAUGACAGCUUUCCUUGCAUUUGGAGCACGAACAUGCAGCCCGCCAUGACCACUGGGAUCCGAAGGGAACUCUACUGAGAAAGGGGUGAGAAAUGGAGGAAGCAAGGCAAGAAGAGCAUAGUUCUUCUCUUUAAUAAAAAGGAUUUGGAGAACAGUUGUCCCUUUCAGCCUUUUUAUGUACAAUUGCUUAAAAUACUAUGCCAAAUGACUUGGCUGCCAUCUUGCAAUCACGAGGGCAAAAAGCUCAAGAACAAAACCCAAUAUUCUGAAGAAGAUGGAACAGAAGGUAGAAGAUCUUGAGACUUCAAUGAUUUUUUUUUUUUUAAAUAUGGAAGGCUUCAUGAAUUUGUGUGUCAUCCUUGUACAGGGGCCAUGCUAAUCUUCUCUGUAUCAUUCCAAUUUUGAUAUCUGUGCUGCUGAAGCAAGCACUUCAAUGACAUUUUAAGCCAUUGAACUAAACCCUUGCCUCUGUAUUUUAUAUUAUGUGGAAUAACUAUUGUACUUCUUAUCAAAUCCAUCUUUAAUUGGGUAGUCUAUUUUGC